AAUGUUGAAACAUGGAAAUAAUAAGCGAUGACCUGUGGAAGACAUAUUUUGUGCACAUUGUUUCUUUCAGCAGAAAUAGGUAAACUUUAUUUUCGUGACAUUUCUUAAGGGACUACUUGUUUUUGCGGAAGCAUGAAGGGCGGUGGAUAGACAGCGUCACAUCGCCUAUAAAUUCCUCUGAACAACUGCACUGCACCAGUUCUUGCGCUAUGGUAGAGAAUGACUGAUGAAUCGCCUGCAAUGCUUUUCGUUAGUGUUUCUGCGUAACAAUAGUCGGUUUAUUUCUGAGUUAUAUUCUAUAUAGGUUCGCUGUUCUAUUAGGUUUCUUUGUGAAAAAUAUUUAUUUCGUUUCUUAGCUAAGACGAAUUACUUCAGGUAGUGUAACUUUAGUGUUAACUGCGGUGUCAAAGUGAGUGUCAUUAGCUGGCUAGGUUUUUUUUUUUGGUUCAAAAAGCAACUGAAACCUAUGGUAAGACGUUUUUUUACCAAUACUAAGCCAACUUAAAUUUGAAAACGCAGUUGAGGACACCGCGUAACAAAUUUACCCUAAGUGCGGUAUGUAUUUAGUCCGCUAACGCCGUUGAUUCUAGCCAACGUAAGUUACUGUAAGAGAUUACAUCACGUUAGUUAAGAUGAAUUCUCUUUCAUUUAUUUUUGGUAAUUUUUGGCGGAAAAUGUACACUACGUUGUAUUUUAGGUUUGGUAUUACAUAGCUAUCAAUUUAAAUGCAGCUAAAAUAACGUUAAAUUGUAGUUACGCAGUUGAAGGAAGAUGCUAGCCAAUAGCAUUAACAAAAUGGCGCCGAGUAGCGACCUUUAAAAAGGGUGUGGCUUCUAGCCUCGAAAAUUCCAGACCAUAACCGAUUUAUCUUUAUAUAGCGUCAAAAGCUAACCUAGUCAUUAUACGUGUGUGAGGGAGGCAAUUUCGUAGUUGGUUCAAAUUCGUUUUAAUGGCAUCUAUUUACUUGCCGUUUAAUUCAAUUAUUGAAUCUUGUCCGAUGUUGUACAGCGUUACCGAUCUGGUAAAAUAAUUGAGGAAAUCUGAGUAGGAGGAGCCUUAAAGCAAGCUUGCCUACAUUUAUAUCAGUGGUGUUGAAGGACGUCGGAAUGCAAUUUCAGAAGAGCUGCCACAAUGUCACGUCUAAUCCCGUUUCUUGAAUUUGAAUUUAAAAUCCAUUGAGAUGAAGACCAGUCUGAAGAUGUUUGUAUACGGCUUGAAAUAGCUUUAUAUAUAUUGAAGAGGCAUUAAAUGAAGUUUGAAAGUCUAAUGAGCUUGAAGCAUGUUACCAGUGAAAGUGAUCUUGAGCUUUUAGAAGUGCCCAGCUGUGAAGACAAGUUGCCAUGGUAUUGGCGUAAUUGUUGCCUCCAGUGGUUGCCAUACGAAGUGCAUCUAACAGAAGAUUUAACUAGUGCUGGCUAAACAAAAUUAGGGUGCUUUCAAAGGAAAAUGAGAAGGGCUAGUGUUGACAACCUAGCUUGUGCCAUUUUAUUUCUUAAAUAAUGGGACUGGUAUGCUACAUAGUGGUGAAGAGAGAAGAUUUUUUUUUAAUUUAAUUUUUUCGUUAAAAAAACAAACCAAAAAAAAUUCCAGAGGCAGGACUGAGUUUGCGAUCGUGUGGAAGGCUGGACUUUGUAGAGGUUGGUGACCCAGGGAAGGAGCGUAACGGGAUCGGAGGGAAAGCGGGCAGGAUCAGGAGGAGCAGCACCAGUGUAAUCCAGAGGACAGCAGGCCAGAGCGCAGCGGGUAGCGUCAGCAAAGAGGAGGCGUCUGCGUGCGGUGUCCCAUGGUAGUCCCCAAGCGAGCAAGCAGGUUCCUGGCAGUGGCACAGAGGGGGGAGUCAGAGGGCAAGCAGCACAGCUGAGACCCCGUCACCUAGCUACAUGAUCACAGAAGUGUUGGGUUUGUAUAUUGGGUUGAGGUAUUGCUGUAACGUUCAGCAUAAAAUCUAGUCCUUAAAAAAACCAAAACCUAGUUUUUCGGAACACCUGCUCGCGUAGUCUUUUGUUUCUUCUUUUUACAGGCAAGGUGCGUUAAAUAAGUGUCUGGUUCCGUCACCACCAUGUGCCCGUUGUCAUUCGCCAAGUGUGGUCUCCGUGUGCCGUGAUGAGUCCGUUGGUAGUUCCCCCGGGGCUAAAUGUCGUCUCCCCUGCGCUGGUUAUGGACUCCUCUUCCCUGCACUGGUUGCGUCCCAGAGGGAGGAUCUUCUUGUCGGACAUCUCAUCCCCCUGUGUUCAGAUGUAGUCUUCGGGCCGGAGAGCAUCCUAUUGUCCCCAUAGGUCCCUUCCUGUGCAGUGGUCAGCACUGGAGAUUGUCGGAUCUGCAGCCAUCCCCCCUGUACCACAUCACCUACUUUGGCAACAGAGCAGUCAAGUGAGCUGGUAAAAGCAAGUAGUACAUUGUGCAUGAGGUAGAAUAUUUGAGAGGGGGUAACUAUUUAUGAAUUUGGAGUGGACUUAAAACUUGUACAUACUGAGAAAUGACAAGGAGCAACUGUUCCUUGCUUAGUCUAUCUUGAAUGAGGAGAUGCCUUAUACAUGAUGCCUCAUGUAUUAGUUUGGACAUUAUGUGGAAUAGGGGGAGGGAAAAUGGGGGUCUUGAGUUCUUCUUUCCACAGGUUCCUCAGUUUUAGGCGACUACCAAAGAUAACACUGAUGGAGGAGUACCUCUGGCUUGUUUGGCACCUCAGCACUUUAACGUCCUUCUAUAGUGUGGGUCCUGUGCAAUCAGGUUGAGUCCAUCUGCAUAAAAUGGCUGUUCAGGAUGGCAACAGGUGAAGUCUGCAUUUAAUGCAUUGUGGGUUGACAAAAACGUCCACUUGAAGUAGAAGUGCCUUCUGACUGGCAUCCAUGCCAUUUUGAAAAUCCCCGCAUACUCUGUAAUGUUUAGUCGUAUUUCGUGUUGUGGUGCGUCAAAUGUCGUGUCCUGGGGGGAGGGGGAGGGUGGGGAGGCUAACCUGAAUCUUUUCCUAGACUCUUUCAGCUCCUCACGUAAAGCAGUUUAAAAAUAAGCUGAGUGGAAGGGUAUGAAUAGGAAUGACUGGGAAGAAACCACCCAAGGGUCCCACGUCAUCUGGCAGUCAUCCGUAUGCGCUCUUGUUCAAGUGAAAAGGUGUGACGUAAUGACACUCAAUCAUCCAGAAGUCUGGUACUUGAAGCAAUUAGGAUAUCCAGAUGCUCAACAUGGUUGUCCACAACAAAAAGCGGUAAAAGUUGAAAAUCGGAAAGAUACUGGGAUUUGGGCAAAGUGGGUGGUGGGGCUGGGAGUUACUUACUUGUGAAAGACUCUUCCAGAUGUUAAAAAUAAUCCGCCCCCCCCAAGAAAAGCCACCGCCGAUCCAGUAUUAAAUCUACCAGCCUUCCGUGGAGAACAGCUGGGAGCAUAAGUGUUUUUCCGUUCACAUUCGUACGGCAAGUAAACGAGCAUUGUCUGAAAUGUAUUGUUUUAGAGUUGCGUAUUUUGGUAGUCUGCAUUUUGUGGACCUCAGUUUUGAAAUGGAUUGUUAUAUUUUAAAAACCAUUUGAAAUCUUGUGAACCAGUAGUUUCUGGAUGGGGUCAAUCUGGGGGUGGUGGGAGGUCUGUUUCCCUCUUUGCCUUUUGCAGUUUUCCUUGUGGCCGGUGAUUAAUUUUCAGGACCAACCGGAUCGGUCAGCUCCUAGUUUGCUGUAUGUAAAGGUUAACUUUCGCUAAUGUAACUCCCUCCAAUUUUGAGAUUCAAGACUUCAAAAGGUAUUAUCUUUGAAUAAUUACACCUAAUAUGCAUGGAUAUUGUACUGUACAUUUAAAGGGAAUGUUUCCCUCAAUUUCCGUUCACCUGUAAAGUUGUAAAUGUUGCUGUUGCGUUGGAGAAUUCUCCCCGUAAUGUAAAAUUAAAAGCACAUUGAACAUAAAAAUAAAUACAUAGCCUGUUGUGAGUGGUUUUGGUAUGCAUUUGUCUUUUUGGGAUUUGGGGGGGGUCGUUCUUCUGCUUAACUUUUUCAGGUACGCUUUUAAAUCGUGGAGCUUUGUAGAGCACUGUGUCCGGGGCUUGGUAGCAGCUCUUUGAAGGUGGAAUUGGAGGCAGAUAAGUCACUUGCCAUGUAGAUGCCAUUUAAAGUCAUAGGAGAAAGAAUCAUGUUUGAAAAGAUGAUGGAAACGAGAUGUGUGAAGAAUGAUGGGCCUUAAUGGCACCCAGAAUGCAAGGAACCCCAAUGAUAAGCUUUACAGUGGAGAACAUGCUGGUGUGUGUGGACAUUGUGCAAUUUCUCUCCCUUCAAAACAAAGUCUUUAGAGUCUUGAAACGGACAAGCCAAUGGGAGGACUCAACAUGGAAAAUCCUAAAGUCAAGUUAAGUUUAUAAAAAUAAAAAAAAAAAAACUAAAAUGUAUUUUAAAUCUCAAUCUUGAGGUAAUCUUGAGUAGAAAUUGUGUAACUUAAGUGGGGUUGGGGAUAUUCAUUUGUAUUGGAGGGCGGGAGGGGCGGAUUCUGUUUGCUCUCAAUCUUCCAGAAUCUUGCAACUUGGAAGAAGGCCAACUGCCAGGAAAGUGUGACCACAGGGAUCGGCAGCCCUUUCAACUUCAGUAUCUUGUCAGGCAGGACGGUUUUAACCAUUUCCCCCAAAAAAAUGCUUGAUCAGUGCAAGUUGGCAGUCUUUGCUUUAAUGUUGACUUGGCUACCAGCACUUGUGCAAAUGUGUAGGUGCAGUUUAGUUGAGUUGUCUGCUGUGCAAAUGUGCAGUUUUAGUGAAGUUUGCAGUCGUGCAACUGCGACGCUAAAAUCUGAUGGGUAGCCGAGGGAAGCCGUGCAACUGUGCAGUUUCAACUAAAUUGUGUUCGCAUUGCAACUGUGAUGCUGGUUAAUAUUGAGGCUUGCAGUAGGGAUGUUGGUUAUUGUGAGGGGGGUGGGGUUUGUGUAUUCUAGAAUUUCUUUCUUCGCAGAGUCGUAAUUUGCGUCCACACAGACAGCAGCUACAGAUUGCAAGUCCACAAGAAGUUUCCUCGUCUGAAGUUGCUAGUAAGAAUCGAUUGCUAAAGUGGUGGUCCCAUUGAUCGCAAGCUGGAAGGCCUAUAAAGGUCCAUUUCAUUUUGAAACAAUGUUUUCCUGUUGUGACAUCUUGAGGUGAGCUGUUCAGCUUUUCUUAACAUCCAUCAAUGAGGGAAAUUCAUUUCCACAUGCAACGCGCUUAAUUAGCAUUUGCAUUCUCACUUGCUUCACUAUUGUGUCGCUUUGCAUCUAAUUUAACACAUCUAACAUGUUUCUGAUACACCACAUGAAACAUAGUUUUCGUUGAAAAUGUAUGCGUUGGGGGAGAAUGUGGGGAAGUUGUUUGUCUUUCAGAUUGUUUCGGCUGUUGCCCACUUUGGUCACCCCUGCAUCUAUGUGCAAAGCUGUCUGGGAGCUAAUGGCAAGUGAAUGUCCCCUUGAUGAAUGAAGACGUUUCCUCUCACUCCUGUGUGCUUGAGCUUGAACCUACGAGGAGGAUCUUUUUCUGUGUGUUGUGUUUUCCGUUCUUUGGUUUCCCAAACAGGAAUUUACCAUGUAUCAAAUUGUCAUGAAUGCAAGAUUGGCUGGAAUAUGGCUUCCAGGAUGCGCUAACAGCGUGAUGAAUCGGUGGGAGAUCUUUCAAUUUGAUUUCAGCUAAAAGCCACAAGCUUGUCUUGCUGCUAAUUAAGCUCUUUCUGCAGUUGCUUUGGGCUAAGUUAAGUAACCUCUGUUUCCUUAAUUUGUCCACAACUUUGUUAGGAGCUUUCUGUGAUCUAAGCAUGCACCUGAAAUUUACAUGCAUUAAUCUGUAGACCUGCAGUGACUAAACUUCAUAAAUUAAAUUGGCAAAUGCCAAUGUAAACGUUUUUCUGAAAGUACUGUAGCGGGAGUAGAUCUGCGAUUGGUUGGGGUGGGGGGGUGGGGUUGUUUGGGACAACAUUUUCUUAUUUCUUUGCAGAAACUCUUUAAAAUGAAUCGGCAUGAUUGACUCCCGGAAACGUCAACCUAGCGUGCAUCUUGAUUCCUGCUGGAAGGGGAUGGCCGUUGUCUUCCGUUUCUUGAUCAUUUUUACAGGUUAAAGGCAAACCGUCCAACUGCGUCAAAGUAUUUCCUUCGUAUAGAUGGGAGACAACCGUGGGGAAUGCAGAUUGGGUCUCUGGGGGUUUUUUCCCCCCCCUCAUUUGCAUUUCAGAUACUUAACUUCAUGCCCUGUAAGGCUUCCUUUUGACACCUACCGUAAAUUGGAGGACAUGGUCAAGGAUGGUGGCUGUAAGUGUGUAUUGAAAAAUUGUACUUUGUAAUCUUUGGAAAUAAUUUGGAAAAACUGGUAUAUCCAGCUUGGUUUUUGGUUGUAAUUGUGCAAGAUUUACAAGUGUGUUGCUAGUGCUUUGGGAUAACUUGUUACUGGAAAUGGGUUUUUUGUUUUUUCCCCCUAAUUGGGGGGGUGGGGGGGUUGUCAAUUCUUCAUAUGGUUUAUCUUCCAGCGCCUUUUUUUGAAGAUUCUGUGAUUCAAAGCAAGCCUAGUUUGACACCUGCGUGGACUGAAAUUGCAAUAGUAACAAUCUCAUUCUUUCUGAAUUCUCUGCGCCAUGCAGUCUGCUGGUGGCUUACUUCUGAUUGUUGAAAUUCUCAUUUUGUGUAACCUAGGAUUUUGAGUGAAAUAAGCGCAAGGUAGCAUUUCUACUGGUAUAUUGGGAGAUUUCCUGGGGGUUUGGGGUGGGAAAUGGCAACCCGUUUGUCCUCUAGUUGCAGGGUCCGCGUGAGGGAAGAACCGACCGUAGAGCGGAGCAAAUUUCAGAAACCGUGGUAUGAAAGGGUUUUUCUUUUCCUGGGGGAACAAGCCCCUUUGGUCUUGUUCCUCCAGGUUUUGCUUUUUCUCCUUACUAAUUUAGAAAAAAAAGCAAAAGACUCCGGUGGUGGCACUCCUGGUUUCCAGGACGGGGUUCAAUUCCCUGCGGUGUCUUUGCUUUCAAAAUGUAGAUGGGAGGCUUGGACUAUAGCUUGUACUAGUUAAACAUGAUUAAAUAUUGACAUGAGAUUGUGUUGAGCAGGCAUGCUAGGAUUGACUUGAUUGUAGAAGUGUUUCAUAUAUAAAAUGUUGAUUUCAUUUUUUUUUUUUUUAAUUGCAGACUUCAUUUCUUUACUUCUCAGAUGUUAAAUUUUAUAGAUUAAUUUCAGCUGUAGGUCUCAGUCUUACAGUGGACAAUCUGGUCAUUGAGCCUGAACCGUUGGGAAAUGGAAAUGAGCGGUUUUAUGAAUUUACAAGGUCAACCGGGACGUUUCUUCCACAAUGGGUUCCCUCCGCAGAUUUCCCCUUGCUACAAGGUUCAUUUUAAACAUGAUGCUCGGUGUGUAUUACUUUUAGUGAUUGCCAUUUGGGAUCUCCUUCACCAGUGCAAAAUAUUUCACCUCCUGAGGUUGUCUGCCAGAUUGACAAUACCUUUUGUAUAUAGGACAAUUCAAGUCUAGCAGAAUAAACCUUUUCUCAGAUGCCUGAAAUAAGGUCUAAGAUGUGUUUUGUGUGGGGCGGGAACAAUAUUAGUUACUCUGGUAUUGCUACUGAAAGAAACCUGGCAUGUACAAAUACAAACAUAAGUGAGUGGUGAACAAAUGUACAUAAAAGAAACUGGAUGAGACAAAGGACUUUACGAACAAAGAAACAAAGGACAUGAGACCAGAAAAGGAGGACAAUAAUCCACCCUCCCACAGCGAUGCUCCUGCGCUUUGCCCAGGCUAACGACCGAGAUAACUUGGUGUCCUGACCACUCAAAGCGCUGCAAAGAAGAUGGCCGCCCAUCUAAUCUACUUCCUCCAACCAGUACUUUAAUAAAGCAUCACAAUCAAUCUGGUCUGCACUGCAAUACUCAUUAAAUAAACUACUGAUUAAAUAGACCAAACUCAGUUGUGUUUUUAUGCUGCAAUGGAUCAAUGGAAGGCUAGCACCCCAGCUGGAUAUUAAAUGUGUGUGAACUGACAAAUUUAUUUUAAGAUCUGAUCCACUGGUUUUAUUUUUACAGUUUUCAACAAAACCACGGACUAUAAUUUUGGUUUCUGAGUAAGAUUUUGACAUGUAGUCCAAUUUACAAAUAAUUAGUAUUUUUUGAGCUUGAAUCUGCACUUCUUUUCAAUAGCUGAAAUUGAGUCUUGUGAGCUGGUGGUCAUGUUAAGCCAGCACACUUUCUCUGUGGCAAAAAUCCUGACAGCCAUGGUAAAUAUAUGAGCUGGUUGAUUGAAUCAUGGCCUAUUUCUGUCCUGCUAGAGCCGUCCCAGUCAACUAAGUGCUGUUAUUGUGAAGGGGAAAGGUCUAGGAGCAGUGAAGCUGUAGGCCACUCAAGCUCACAGAACGGGCCUGCUGAAUGCUGAAGCGGAUGUCCUCGGUUGCAACACUCACUACCGAGUUCCAGACUGCCUCUGGAAGCAACGUCAGCACAAGAACUGUUUGCUUCAUGAAAUGGGGUUUCGUGGCCAAGCGGGAAAAAAUACAUCGGCCUCAAGUGGUAGCAGAAAUGUUCAUUAUGCUUCCCAGUAAGAAUACUUGGACACAGUUGCGCUAGGUUUAAAAGUAAAACUUAAUUUAGUUAUAACUUUAUAGUGUAGUUAUGAUGGUCACAUAAGAAACAGGUUUAACAUUUAUUCUUAUUUUACUCUUAACUCCUUAAAUAAUUAUAUUGUGUGUUUUCAUAAGACUCUGUCUAUCUAUUCGGUGUGAGGCAGAAGGAAGCAGUUUGUGAUCUGUACGGGAAGAGAAUUCACCAGCACUCUUUCUUCUUAAUGAUGUUCCAAACAGUUGAUUUUGGUAAACCUGUGUUUGGCCUAUGUCUCUGAUUGUUUUAUAUUACCCAUCCUCAUAAUGGCUUCCUUGUCAUUGGUUCUUGCACUGACAAAUUCCAAUUACAGACUCCAAAGCAAUUGAAAACCUAGAAUCAAGAGUAGAUACUGAAGCUGGUCUUACACUUGCAGUAAAGAAGCAAUUGAGCACACCUGACUAAUGGGGAUUGGUUGAUUUAUAAAAAGUUUGGUCAUUUCUAUAUGGUGAAACCAAAAUGUAUUAAAACCCUUCAAUAUAAGCUGAUAAUCUGCAAUUUAACCACAUAUGAAUUGCCUGAUUACAAAUCUAAAAUUUUGGCACACAGAGCCAAAUAAAGAAAAAAUAUGGCUUUGUCCUAAAUGUUAUGGUGCUCAAUAUGUAUGUAGGGUUGUUCAUGAUUCCUGUUAACAUUUAUAUUAACAGGUUGUAUAUUAUCCAGCAAGAAUUCCUACCUUUGUCUACCUUUUCUUUCCUGUAGUGGCAAAUUCUAGAUCUGUAUCUUGAAAAAAAGAAAAAACAUCUGCAGAGGACUGAUCACAAGAAUGCCCUUCUAUUGUAAAGCAAGAUGUUUGAAUUGCCUUACAACAGAUCAUUUUAAAUUGUUUACAACAUUUUAAAUAUGUUGUACAAAUGUAAAAUGUAUUAUGGGUCUGACUCAAGUAAAUUGUUGAAUACACCAGAAGAUAUGUGUACAAACCUUCAGCUAAGUAGCAAAUAAUUGGUGAAAGAAUGACAUUACAGGAAGAUAACUGUCCAAAGCAUGCAUGCAAGUUUUAAGAAAAUUUUAAACUUCUGCUAUUUUCAGUGGAAUUUGUCCAUGCAUUGUGUGAUGUAAUUAAUUUCCCCGUGGAAAUAAAUAAAGCUUUUUUAAUUGAA